rnacentral:rRNA from 1 species
GACCGAUAGCGCAUAGUACCGUGAGGGAAAGGUGAAAAGAACCCCGGGAGGGGAGUGAAAAAGAACCUGAAACCCUGUGUUUACAAGCAGUGAAAGUGCAAGUUAGGCACGAUCACGUACUUUUUGUAGAACGGACCGGCGAGUUACGUUAUGCAGCAAGGUUAAGAACUGAAGGUUCGGAGCCGAAGCGAAAGCGAGUCUGAAUAGGGCGAUAGUUGCAUGACGUAGACCCGAAACCGGGUGACCUAUCCAUGAGCAGGUUGAAGUGGAGGUAAAGCUCCAUGGAGGACCGAACCAGACGUCUGUUGAAAAAGGCGGGGAUGACUUGUGGAUAGGGGAGAAAUUCCAAUCGAACCCGGAGAUAGCUGGUUCUCCUCGAAAUAGCUUUAGGGCUAGCCUCAUGGAUCAUUGGUGGGGGUAGAGCACUGAAUGUGCGCGGGGGCCACAAAGCCUACCAAACGCUAUCAAACUUCGAAUACCAUACAAUGCAGACCAUGGGAGUCAGUCCGCGAGAGAUAAGUUCCGCGGGCAAAAGGGGAACACCCCAGAUCAACCGCUAAGGUCCCCAAGUUCACGUUAAGUGGAGAAGGAUGUGGAAUUGCACAGACAACCAGGAUGUUGGCUCAGAAGCAGCCACACAUUUAAAGAGUGCGUAAUAGCUCACUGGUCGAGUGAUUGUGCGCCGAAGAUGUCCGGGGCUAAACGUGACACCGAAGCGAUGGGUGCAUCGAAAGAUGCGCGGUAGAGGAGCAAUGUGCAGAGGCAGAAGCCGUAUCGAGAGGCACGGUGGACACUGCACAAGAGAGAAUGCCGGUAUGAGUAGCGAGAGGCAUGCGAGAAACAUGCCCGUCGAAAGCCCAAGGUUUCCUGGGGAAGGUUCAUCCGCCCAGGGUAAGUCGGGGCCUAAGCCGAGGACGGAAGUCGUAGGCGAUGGACAGCAGGUGUAGAUUCCUGCACUACCGAUGGAAUGAAGCAGUGACACAGAAGGAUAACUCGAGCAGGGUGAUGGUCAACCCUGUGCAAGCAUCGAGGUUGGGUUGUAGUGAAGUACGCAAUCCUAUAAGCUGAGAUGUGAUGCGGACCGAAAUUUCAGUAGGGAAGCGAGUGCGUUCACGCUGGCGAGAAAAGCUGCUAGUACAUCCAAAGGUACCCGUACCGGAAACCGACGCAGGUGGGCGAGGAGAGAAUCCUGAGACGAACGGGAGAACCCUUGUUAAGGAACUCGGCAAAAUGACCCCGUAACUUCGGGAUAAGGGGUGCCUGCGAGAGCAGGCCGCAGAGAAUAGUCACAAGCGACUGUUUAGCAAAAACACAGGUAUCUGCGAAAGCGAGAGCUGACGUAUAGGUGCUGACACCUGCCCGGUGCUGGAAGGUUAAGGGAACAUGUUAGAGCAAUCGAAGCAUCGAACCGAAGCCCCAGUAAACGGCGGCCGUAACUAUAACGGUCCUAAGGUAGCGAAAUUCCUUGUCGGGUAAGUUCCGACCCGCACGAAUGGUGUAACGACUUGUGAGCUGUCUCAACAGGGGGCCCGGUGAAAUUGAAGUAUGGGUGAAGAUGCCCAUUACCCGCGACUGGACGGAGAGACCCCGUAGAGCUUUACUGCAGCCUGAUAUUGAGUUUCGGUAACUGAUGCACAGGAUAGGUGGGAGUCUGAGAGACACGGGUUUCGGCUCGUGAGGAGACGCUGUUGGGAUACCACUCUUCGGUUACUGAAAUUCUAACAUAGCUCUGUGAAACCAGAGGAUGGACAGUGUCAGGUGGACAGUUUGACUGGGGCGGUCGCCUCCGAAAGAGUAACGGAGGCGCCCAAAGGUACCCUCAGAAUGGAUGGAAACCAUUCGAAGAGCGCAAAGGCAGAAGGGUGCCUGACUGCGAGAGUGACAACUCGAGCAGAGACGAAAGUCGGGCUUAGUGAUCCGGCGGUAUUGAGUGGAAAAGCCGUCGCUUAACGGAUAAAAGCUACCUCGGGGAUAACAGGCUGAUCUCCCCCAAGAGUCCACAUCGACGGGGAGGUUUGGCAC